rnacentral:rRNA from 1 species
GACGAACGCUGGCGGCGUGCUUAACACAUGCAAGUCGAACGAUGAAGCCUUUCGGGGUGGAUUAGUGGCGAACGGGUGAGUAACACGUGGGUAACCUGCCCUUGGCUUUGGGAUAAGCCCUGGAAACGGGGUCUAAUACCGGAUAUGACUGAUUCUCGCAUGGGGAUUGGUGGAAAGUUCCGGCGGCCAGGGAUGGGCCCGCGGCCUAUCAGCUUGUUGGUGGGGUGAUGGCCUACCAAGGCGACGACGGGUAGCCGGCCUGAGAGGGCGACCGGCCACACUGGGACUGAGACACGGCCCAGACUCCUACGGGAGGCAGCAGUGGGGAAUAUUGCACAAUGGGCGCAAGCCUGAUGCAGCGACGCCGCGUGGGGGAUGAAGGCCUUCGGGUUGUAAACUCCUUUCGCCAUUGACGAAGCCCUUUGGGGUGACGGUAGGUGGAGAAGAAGCACCGGCUAACUACGUGCCAGCCGCCGCCGUA